GCGUUCGUAAAUCAAAAAACCACAAAAAAUGUGUGUCCUUCCCUCGAUUGGUGUUUCCUCCUCACUCUAGGGUUUCUGAUCGACCAGCUCUACUCUCAGUGUCCGACUGGUGAUCGAACUGAGAAAAAAACUAACUUUUAAAGAUAAUUUGUAUUUAGUCGUGGAAUUUCUGGAUAAAGGUUAGUGGGUUUUACCUUUUUCUGGCUCUUUAGUUUCUCUUUUUUUCCAUUUCUUGUGCUUACUCUUGUUCUUGUGUGCAUUCUUUGCAUAAAUGUUAAUCUUUUGUUGAAUUAUAUUCAUUGAAUUACUUUAGUUUUGUUAAAAUUUGUGAUACUGUGGUAUGUAUUCUUACUACUUUAAAUUAGUGUUUGGACAACGUGCAUUGUAUUUUGAUAGUUUUGAGGUAGUUUUCUGCUGUUGUGAAGUGAUGGAAUGUUGCUGCGGAGGUGAUUGUAGGAGCAUUUUUGAAAGAGUUUGGUGGAUAAAUGUGGUGAUGAUGUUGGAAUCUGGAGUUUUGAGAAGCAAGGAGGUUUGGGUUGAUUCAUUUUCAGUCUCCUGUUUAUUCUAGAAUGUGGAUAAUGUGGACUCCAAUGGGCUUUCUCUAGUGUGUAUGGAUUCCAAUGGGCUUCUUUAUGACCUUCUUUUAAAGAUGUUGAGGGAUGGUAAGGAGAUGUGUUGGUAGUUGUGCAAAGAUUUUUAUGAAUUGGGGACAUUUGUGAAGAGCUUGAAUGCAUCAUUUAUGGUAUUGGUUUCCAAGAAAGGGGCGGUAGUGAAUAUUAGGGAUUUUAGACCUAUCAACCUGGUUGGGGAGAAGUUGUUUGAUAAAAGUCCAACCUACCCUGUGGUGGUGUGCCAACCUAAUAAUAAGGGGAUAUAUGAUCAUCUUUUCAAAA